CACUUGCAAUGCCCAUAAAAGCUCAAAAGACAUACCUGACAAGCAAAGUUUCUGUCUGUUGUUUCCUCCCACUAUUAUUGUGUGUGGCCUCAUGAUGAGCCAGGUCACCAAUACACAGACUGCAUACAAGUGAGGAUACACCAUAAGGCUUACAUUUUAGUUACUGAUGAGGCAUAGAUGUUGUUCUAUCUUGCAGACAGUAUGGAGUAACUCAAAAACAAGAGAAGCAGGCUCAAGAGAAUGAGAACAGAUAAGAAUAGUACAAAUUCAACAGAGUUAAUCAAAGAGCAACAUCUUUAGAAAUGUAUUAAGUAAAGUGGAUGUCACUGUUUAAGCUGAGAUAAUGCCACAUUUUUCACUUCUUUACUCCUAAAUGAUUUUUCCAGGCCACAAUAUGGAGUGGUUUCAGAAGCUAGCCAGUGGCUGAGAGAGAGCGCCAAGCUGAUGCCAGAAUAUUCUAAUGGCAAUUUGGCAAGAAAGAUUUGGUGACUAAGCUGGUUUGUUGCCCCAAGUAUUCUGCAUAGUUAUAGG